UACGUAGGGUCCGAGCGUUGUCCGGAUUUAUUGGGCGUAAAGAGCUCGUAGGCGGCUUGUCGCGUCGACUGAACUGAACCACGCUCAACUGUGGCUUGCGUUCGAUACGGGCAGGCUAGAGUUCGGUAGGGGAGACUGGAAUUCCUGGUGUAGCGGUGAAAUGCGCAGAUAUCAGGAGGAACACCGGUGGCGAAGGCGGGGUCUCUGGGCCGAUACUGACGUGAGGAGCGAAAGCGUGGGGGAGCGAACAG
rnacentral:rRNA from 1 species